rfam:Otolemur garnettii contig063346, whole genome shotgun sequence.
AAGUCUAUACUUUCAGGGAUGCUGUCUACAGCCUAUUACUAGAGAAGCUUCUCUGAAUGUGCAGAGCACAGGAACCCACGAGGGGAGGCGCAGGGUUCUCCCUGAGUGGGAAGCUAGCUCUUGGUGUGUUUUGCUACAAGUGCCACUUCCCACUCAUGAUCCUCCUCCUCCUCCUCUGAAGGAGUAAGAGGGACAGAGCAUAGUCUGAGUGGU